rnacentral:tRNA from 1 species
UAGGAAGUAGUGUAGGGGAGGCCCGGAGAGUUUUUAUUUUUCAAGGAGGGGUUUGAGCCCCCUUUUUUUAA